GAUGAACGCUAGCUACAGGCUUAACACAUGCAAGUCGAGGGGAAACGACAUUGAAGCUUGCUUCGAUGGUCGUCGACCGGCGCACGGGUGAGUAACGCGUAUCCAACCUGCCUCUGACCAAGGGAUAACCCGUCGAAAGUCGGCCUAAUACCUUAUGCAGUCGUCGGAAGUCAUCUGAUGACGACGAAAGAUUUCAUCGGUGAGAGAUGGGGAUGCGUCUGAUUAGCUUGUUGGCGGGGUAACGGCCCACCAAGGCAACGAUCAGUAGGGGUUCUGAGAGGAAGGUCCCCCACAUUGGAACUGAGACACGGUCCAAACGCCUACGGGAGGCAGCAGUGAGGAAUAUUGGUCAAUGGGCGAGAGCCUGAACCAGCCAAGUAGCGUGCAGGAUGACGGCCCUAUGGGUUGUAAACUGCUUUUAUGCGGGGAUAAAGUGAGGGACGUGUCCUUCAUUGCAGGUACCGCAUGAAUAAGGACCGGCUAAUUCCGUG
rnacentral:rRNA from 1 species